rnacentral:lncRNA from 1 species
UGAAAACAAACUUUUGAGCGAAUGCCUUAGAAAGAAACUAGACAGGAGAUCGAGGACAUUACCUCCCUUCAUGUAUCUCUUGUAGGAGUUCAACUCAAAGAGGAUGAUGUUGUUUGGAGAAUGUUGGCUUGAUGAAGUAAGGGUCCAUUGAAACAUGACAACAAUUAGUGAGCUCCAAGAUGGCCGUCACCUUCUUGACAUGUGAUGAGAGCACAAAAGUGCGACCUACAUGUCACUAAAAUUAGUGUUAUUGCUAACCGAUAAUGAUAAAUUCACUGGAUUAAUAUUAUAUUUGGGUUUGACACAGAUUAUCAUAAAUUAGAGAUAAAAUGCACAUUGAGUACAAAUUUGACUUCAGAAGGAUCCCUUCCCAGAUCCGACCCGGUUGAAGAUCGGGUCGGGUCCGAGUCGGGUUCAGGUCCAAAUCGGGUCCAUUUUGUUUGUGCUUUUGGGAAAGAAUUUUGGACAAAUCUAAUUUGGCCAUAUCAUAACUAUGAGGUGCUGGGUGACCCAUGACUUGAAAGACUUGCACUUGACCUCCAGUCAGAACAGAUGACCCGUGACAAACUGAGUCCGUCCGUCUACAACCCAAAUUUUAUAUCAUACUAUUUUUUUAUCUAUUUGACUGAUUGGAUGGAACUUGGUGUCUCCCAGCUCCCAUCUCAGGAGGGCAAAGAAAAUCCCACCAUCUUCCCGGAUCCACGGCAUCACCCAUUCCGGCUCCUAACGCGUCUCCACCGCGUCUCCAGUCGUC